UUAUUCCAUAAGCUCUCAUCUUUCAUCUAAAAACUCUGCUAAAUUCUCCGUUCGAGCACUCCAUUCUUGUUGAGGCAGAGAACUGACUUGAGCGUCGGAGGGUCUUGCCGGAGCAACCCCACCACCGGUUUAGACUUCCUUUGCAGGUCCCGACGGUGACCGUGACUUCCUCGACUCCAGCUUCUCCGGCGCAAGCGGAUUUUUGCACCAACAAGGC
rnacentral:lncRNA from 1 species